UCCACUGACCAAGGACAACACCGUGGUCAAGUCCUGGUGUUUCAGAGGGAAUGAACAGAACAGGUCAAAAUGAAAAUGAAAAGACAAAACACAAUACAACUUUUCCACUCAAAGGCCUCAAAAACUAACCAAGGUGAAGAACAUAUCAAGAACCAAGAAUAUAGCAACAUGUCAUCUGAAGGUUCAAGUGGUAUAUCUACAUCCGACCAGCCCAAAGCACAAAUACAGCUACCUAUGGAAGAUACAGUGUCUCCAAAACCUAAAGGCAGUUCCCAAUGUUCGUUGGUCAAAGUAUUCCCAUUUAUUGAAGUUACAAAAGAUGGCUACUGGUGCAUCUCUUGCAAAAAAGCUUACAGAAGAAGGAAAGCUUCCCAAUGCUAUAAUUGGUAAAAGUGGAGGAGCUUGGUUUGUCAAACGGAUCAACAAAGCCAAUGCUGACAAACUACAUGAAAAGGCUGCAAAACACCAGGCAUCUGGAGUGCAUCAACAUGCAGAAAGCCUUAUAAGCCCA